AUGAAUUAGUAAAAAAAAAAUUAAAUAUAAUAAAAAAGAUCAAAGAUUUUCAUCAACAACAUCUAUCAAAAUCAAGAUGAAGGAUAGUAAUUCUUUAUUAUAAAAGAAAUACAAUUUAGAAAAGAUUAAAUUCUACUUUCUAUCCUUCUUUGUAAUUUUUGUAUAAUUGUGGUAUUAAAGAGAUAGAAAAUCAAUUUCCUUUAGAUUCAACUCAAGAAGCAUCAUUUGUUGACUUAUUGGAUCAGAUAUUAUGAUUAUCACAACUUUUAAGAUGACA
rnacentral:lncRNA from 1 species